GAUGAAGAACGCAGCGAAAUGCGAUAAGUAAUGUGAAUUGCAGAAUUCAGUGAAUCAUCGAAUCUUUGAACGCACCUUGCGCUCCUUGGUAUUCCGAGGAGCAUGCCUGUUUGAGUGUCAUGAAAUUCUCAACCUUUUCAGCUUUCUUUGUUGAUCAGGCUUGGAUGUGGGAGUAUGCGGGCUUCUCAGAAGUCGGCUCUCCUGAAAUGCAUUAGCGGGACCUUUGUUGCCUGGCUUUGGUGUGAUAAUUAUCUACGCCAUUGUAGUCAAGCAGCUUAAAAUGAGGUUUCAGCUUCUAACCGUCUCCCCUGAGACAACUUUUUGACAAUUUGACCUCAAAUCAGGUAGGACUACCCGCUGAACUUAAGCAUAUCACUAAGCGGAGGA
rnacentral:misc_RNA from 1 species